UAUGUAGGGUGCAAGCGUUGUCCGGAAUUAUUGGGCGUAAAGAGCUCGUAGGCGGUUUGUCGCGUCUGCCGUGAAAGUCCGGGGCUCAACUCCGGAUCUGCGGUGGGUACGGGCAGACUAGAGUGCAGUAGGGGAGACUGGAAUUCCUGGUGUAGCGGUGAAAUGCGCAGAUAUCGGGAAGAACACCCGUGGCGAAGGCGGCACUCUGGGACGGUACUGACGCUGAGACGCGAAAGCGUGGGGAGCGAACAGG
rnacentral:rRNA from 1 species